AUUGAACGCUGGCGGCAUGCUUUACACAUGCAAGUCGAACGGCAGCGCGGGCUUCGGCCUGGCGGCGAGUGGCGAACGGGUGAGUAAUGCAUCGGAACGUGCCCAGUAGUGGGGGAUAGCCCGGCGAAAGCCGGAUUAAUACCGCAUACGACCUGAGGGUGAAAGCGGGGACCGAAAGGCCUCGCGCUAUUGGAGCGGCCGAUGUCGGAUUAGCUAGUUGGUGGGGUAAAGGCUUACCAAGGCGACGAUCCGUAGCUGGUCUGAGAGGACGACCAGCCACACUGGGACUGAGACACGGCCCAGACUCCUACGGGAGGCAGCAGUGGGGAAUUUUGGACAAUGGGGGCAACCCUGAUCCAGCCAUGCCGCGUGCGGGAAGAAGGCCUUCGGGUUGUAAACCGCUUUUGUUCGGGAAGAAAUCCUCUGGGCUAAUACCCCGGGGGGACGACGGUACCGGAAGAAUAAGCACCGGCUAACUACGUG
rnacentral:rRNA from 1 species